rnacentral:pre_miRNA from 2 species
UCUUAUGAAUGAGCAAAGGAAAAUGUUUCUUGAGAUGGAAUCUAUCCGUGGUGAAGAUACUGUGAA